CUAUAUCUAACAAGAAAUGUUUACACGUUAAAAACCUUAAAUAAGAUAUAUUUACAAGCUGGUCUGAUUCAAGUCACGUUGUAAUCACAUCUAAGUUAAACAUCAUGAAAGUCGCUGUAUUCGCUGUCGUCAUCUGUGCGAUGGUUGCAGUAAAUGGAGCACCAAGCAAACGAUUUCUAGAGAAUAUCGACCUUAAGAAUAUCGACCUCAAUCUUCUUUGCCAAACUCACGCGAUGUGCUUCAUUAAUCCAUGUGCGGUACAUAAAUGUCCCGGUCAUCCAGGUGCUACCUGCAGACAAGGCUGUGUUUGUUCUGCUGUAUGGACUGAUGCUUCUGGUAAUAGAAUCAUCGGCUGUUAAACCGCCUGUCAUACUUUAUGUAUCGAUAACUAAUAACAUUUUAAAAUGUUAUAUAUUUGUGUAUGAAAUAAAACUAAAUGCGACAUUAA